rnacentral:lncRNA from 1 species
UUUUUUUUUUUUUUUUUUUUGAGAUGGAGUCUCAUUCUUGUCACCCAGGCUGGAGUGCAAAGGUUUGAUUUCAGCUCAUUACGACUUCCACCUCUCGGGUUCAAACGAUUCUCCCACCUCAGCCUCCCGGGUAGCUGGAAUUACAGGCACCCACCAUCAUGCCUGGCUACUUUUUGUAGAGACGGGGUUUCACCAUGUUGGCCAGGCUGGUCUUGAACUCCUGACCUCAGGUGAUCUUCCAGCCCUGGCCUCCCAAAGUGCUGGGAUUACAGGUGUGAGCUGCCACGCCCGCCCCCCCCAGCCUUUUUUUUUUUUUUUUAAAGGAGGACUGGUAGUGCAGCUCUGCUUUGAGAGUUUUGCUCAGAAGUAGUUUUCUUUAUUUAGCAUAUUGGAUACCUCUCACUUUCUUUUUUUAGUAGUGAUAAAAUAAGUAGCAAUAUUUUUAUAUAAGAGUAUGUUUUAUUGCGCUGCCAUUCCUGGGGGUUGUCCUCAUCCUCAUGGUCCAAGAUGACUUGCCACAAAUACAACUGCAAGCUAGCCAGGAAAAGAGGGGGAGGCCCAAAGACAGGGCACACCCCAGAAAGCUGCAACACUUCCAUUCACAGAGCGCUGGUCAGAACUUGGUCUCCGUCUACACCUACUUGUCAGGGAAGCUGGAAGUCUUUAGUUGAAUGCGCACAAUUAGAAACACAAAAAUAAAAAUAAAAGAGCAUGUACAUACUCCUUUAUUUUUGAGAUGAGACCAUAAGUGGUCUCUGUUUCAGUUCUGUUUUAGAAAUGAUGACAUGAGCAUUUAAGUUAAAAUCAAGAAGGCUUUAGCAUCUCAGGACAAAUGACCCUAAUAUUCAAUCCUACUGAUGAAACUUAACUAAUUCCAGAUCUCCCCUUGUCUACUGCCAUGGUUUAAGAAUUUGUGGGGGCCGAGGGUGGUGGUUCAAGCCUGUAAUCACAGCACUUUGGGAGGCCUAGGUGAGUGGAUUGCUUGAGACCAGGAGUUCAAGACCAGCCUGGGCAACAGCCUGGGCAACAUCCUUACUAAAAAUACAAAAACUAGCUGGGUGUGGUGGCACGCACCUGUCGUCCCAGCUGCUCGAGAGGCUGAGAUGGGAGCAUCACUUGAACCCAGAAGGUCGAGGCUGCAGUGAGUCGUGAUCAUGCCUGGGUGACAGAAUGAGACCCUGUCUCAAAAAAAAAAAAAAAAAAGAAUUUGUGGGGAGGGUAGCAGCAGAUUCUGCAAUAUGUAAGAAAGAAACAAAUGGUGCCCUUCCUCAUUACCUUCCCCUCAUGCCCAGGGCACCUCUUUGAAAUAAUAGUGCUCUGGGAAGACGCUGAAACAAUGCAUUGCUCAGAGGAAGCAAACCCAUACUGCUUUGCAGAUAGGCACAGUAAUUCUUGGGGAUUCCCAAGGCUGCUGAGUUUAUUUCUCCUGUGAGUUAUGCUGAAAACCCCCAACCCUUGGUAAAUAACCUGAACCAGUCUUGUUGCUACAUUGCUUGGUAGAUUUCAGAGUCACUCACUGCAGGACAAGAGGCUGGAACAUUCCACUCACUAAGUGAGAAGCCAUUUUCAACUACACCCUGUAGUUCACGGUGUUAUCUGGAGCCAGAGUGAAUGCCGGUUGCCAUGGCACUGCUUUAAAUUGUGCCUGUGCUAACACAUCUCAUCACAAUGUCACAUGCUGCUCCCAUACACUAGAUAGAUAGAGCCACAUCUAUCUCUUCCUCUUGUUCACCAAUUGAUGCCUGAGCUCUGCACUAGGAAUCGAGAUACAUCAGCCAGAAAGCAAAUCGUGUGGAUGCCACACCUCCCUAGCAUAUUUAUAAGGGGUUGAAAACACCUGAAUUAGGCAACAAGCGAUCUGAGUUCUACUCACAGUUCUCCACUCUGUGGCUUUGGACAAAUUCCUUAAAAUCUCUGACCCUUGGUUCCUCACCUGUACAAUGAAUGAGAUGGAGUAGAAUAUCUCUGCAGUAUCUUCCUG